rnacentral:rRNA from 1 species
GACGAACGCUGGCGGCGUGCCUAAUACAUGCAAGUCGAACGCUUCUUUCCUCCCGAGUGCUUGCACUCAAUUGGAAAGAGGAGUGGCGGACGGGUGAGUAACACGUGGGUAACCUACCCAUCAGAGGGGGAUAACACUUGGAAACAGGUGCUAAUACCGCAUAACAGUUUAUGCCGCAUGGCAUAAGAGUGAAAGGCGCUUUCGGGUGUCGCUGACGGAUGGACCCGCGGUGCAUUAGCUAGUUGGUGAGGUAACGGCUCACCAAGGCCACGAUGCAUAGCCGACCUGAGAGGGUGAUCGGCCACACUGGGACUGAGACACGGCCCAGACUCCUACGGGAGGCAGCAGUAGGGAAUCUUCGGCAAUGGACGAAAGUCUGACCGAGCAACGCCGCGUGAGUGAAGAAGGUUUUCGGAUCGUAAAACUCUGUUGUUAGAGAAGAACAAGG